CCCAGCAUCCCUGAACUGGAACACUUUCUUUAUCCUGCAGUAGAUUUGGUGUUUCUUGACAGCAUUUUGAGGGGGGAUAAAGAGCUCCAGGAACGAUUUCUUCGGUUUUUGGCUAUCAAAUGUGGGAGGGACCUGAAGACAACAGUGUGGAAGCCAGAAAUUCAACACUGCUGUUUGCUCCUUGGGGUUUAAGGCCGG